UCAAGUUAAAAAGAGCACUAGGUGAAUGCCUAGGCACCAAGAGGCGACGAAGGACGUGACAAGCUGCGAAAAGCUACGGAGAGGAGCAAAUGUCCAUCGACCCGUAGAUAUCCGAAUGGGGAAACCCACCGUAAGGUAUCCUAUAGCCAAUUCAUAACUAUAGGAAGCGAACCAGGUGAACUGAAACAUCUAAGUAACCUGAGGAAAAGAAAGAAAACUCGAUUCCCUGAGUAGCGGCGAGCGAACGGGGAAGAGCCCAAAGUGUAAAAAGAGACAAUAGCCAGCCAAAUAAUCUGGGAAGAUUAACCAAAGAAGGUAAGAGUCCUGUAGGCGAAAGCGAAGAUAUCCGACACAAAAGAGUACCACGGAACACGAGAAAUUCAGUGGGAAUAUGGGGGGACCACCCCCUAAGGCUAAAUACUACUUGGUGACCGAUAGCGAACAAGUACCGUGAGGGAAAGGUGAAAAGAACCCCGAGAGGGGAGUGAAAUAGAAUCUGAAACCUAGUGUUUACAAGCAGCGAAAGUGGCAUACGCCACGAUCGUGUACUUUUUGUAGAACGGGCCAGCGAGUUACGAUUACUAGCAAGGUUAAGCAUUACAGAUGCGGAGCCGAAGCGAAAGCGAGUCUAAAUAGGGCGAAAGUUAGUAGUUGUAGACCCGAAACCGUGUGAUCUAUCCAUGAGCAGAGUGAAGUUGAAGUAAAAUUCAAUGGAGGCUCGAACCGGGUAACGUUUAAAAGUUAUCGGAUGACUUGUGGAUAGGGGUGAAAAGCCAAACGAACAUGAAAAGGGGGUAGAGCACUGAUUGGUUGCGGGGCAUGCAUAUGUUACCAAAACCUAUCAAACUCCGAAUACCAUAUCAUGCACUAGGGAGUCAGACUAUGUGGGAUGAGCUUCAUAGUCGAAAGGGAAAGAGCCCAGACCAUCAGCUAAGGUCCCAAAAUUAUAGUUAAGUGGGAAAGGAUGUGGAGUUACUGAGACAACUAGGAUGUUGGCUUAGAAGCAGCCACUCAUUUAAAGAGUGCGUAAUAGCUCACUAGUCAAGUGACUCUGCGCCGAAGAUAACCGGGGCUAAACUAUAUACCGAAGCUAUGGAACGAAUAACGUUGGUAGAGGAGCAAUGUAUGAAGGACGAAGCAUAAGCCGUAAGGCAGUGUGGACAUCAUACAAGAGAGAAUGCUGGCAUGAGUAGCGAGAGGUGAGUGAGAAUCUCACCCGUCGAAAACCCAAGGAUUCCUGAGCAAGGCUCGUCCACUCAGGGUAAGUCGGGACCUAAGGCGAGGCUGAAAAGCGUAGUCGAUGGACAACAGGUUGAAAUUCCUGUACCGAUACAAUCGUUAAAGGAAGUGGGGACGCAGGAGGAUAAUAAGAGCGCCCAGUUGGUGAGGCGUGCAAGCGCAAAGUCUGGAGAGUAGGCAAAUCCGCUCUCCGAAAAGGAUGAAGCGUAAUGCGGAUCGAAAACAAGUAGAGAAGCUUAUGACUCCACACUGCCAAGAAAAGCCACUACAAGAGAAGUAUCGCCCGUACCGUAAACCGACACAGGUAGGUGAGGAGAGAAUCCUAAGACGAGCGGAAAAACCUUUGUUAAGGAACUCGGCAAAAUGACCCCGUAACUUCGGGAGAAGGGGAGCCCCUGUAACAGGGGGCCGCAGUGAAAAGGCCCAAGCGACUGUUUACCAAAAACACAAGUUUCUGCUAAGUCGAAAGACGAAGUAUAGGAGCUGACACCUGCCCGGUGCUGGAAGGUUAAGGGAAAAAGUUAGCGCAAGCGAAGCUUAGAACUGAAGCCCCAGUAAACGGCGGCCGUAACUAUAACGGUCCUAAGGUAGCGAAAUUCCUUGUCGGGUAAGUUCCGACCCGCACGAAAGGUGUAACGAUUUGGGNNNNNNNNNNNNNNNNNNNNNNNNNNUAAGGUAGCGAAAUUCCUUGUCGGGUAAGUUCCGACCCGCACGAAAGGUGUAACGAUUUGGGCACUGUCUCAACAAAGGAUCCGGUGAAAUUGUAGUAGUCGUGAAGAUGCGACUUACCCACGCUAGGACGGAAAGACCCCGUGGAGCUUUACUGUAGGCUGAUAUUGGAUUUUGAGAUUAAAUGUACAGGAUAGUUGGGAGACUAGGAGAUCUGGAUGCCAAUCUAGGAGGAGUCAUUGGUGGGAUACCAACCUUUUAAUAUCAAAGUUCUAACCAUAGCCCUUGAAUCAGGGCAUGGGACAUUGUCAGUUGGGCAGUUUGACUGGGGCGGUCGCCUCCUAAAAAGUAACGGAGGCGUUCAAAGGUUCGCUCAGAAUGGACGGAAACCAUUCGUAGAGUAUAAAGGCAAAAGCGAGCUUAACUGCGAGAGCUACAACUCAAGCAGAGUCGAAAGACGGACUUAGUGAUCCGGUGGUACCGCAUGGAAGGGCCAUCGCUCAACGGAUAAAAGCUACCCCGGGGAUAACAGGCUUAUCUCCCCCAAGAGUCCACAUCGACGGGGAGGUUUGGCACCUCGAUGU
rnacentral:rRNA from 1 species